GGGGGCGCAAUGGUUUCGACCGGUUUCCAGAACCCUCUGAGUCGCGUGCCGGGGAUCCCAGGUCACCCCGUAAAACCCUCCCGGGAAAGUCAGCAUUACUUGCCGACAACAACUACGCACUGGCAGCUUAAUUGACUGCCCGUUCCUGCGCGGAGUGCCCGUGGCUGUGCAGGAACGCUAUUAGCGGGCUGGUCGCCAAGCUGCGCCUCAGGGCCGAGCGACGAGAUUUUCUGAGGCUGGCUCCAACGCAACGUGUUCACGGGCGGCCGAGGAGCGAGACUUUGCCGGUGAACUACGCACGUAGACGCUUUUAGGAAGCUGAUUCCGGGACGGGGGUUCGACUCCCCCCGCCUCCACCA
rnacentral:tmRNA from 1 species